rnacentral:lncRNA from 1 species
UCCCAUCGUUUUUGAUCUGAACAAAUCUCUUCAGACUUUCAUGGUGGCACUGCGAUCACACAUGCAAUGCUAAUGAGAAAUAUGAAAAUACAUGGUGGCAAGGCUCUAAGAAGAAUUAAGAACUUCUGUCUGACACUGUAGAGUUCAUUCAAACUCAUAUUCAGCAGAAAAAAGAAGAGCCACAUAAGAGGUCAAUGGGAGCAGGGGGAAGGCAAAGAAAAAAAAAAAAAAAAAAAGAAAAAGAAAAGAGGAGAUUGUAGCUAUUUCUGAAGAAGAGGGUAUGAGGAUAGACACUUCCUCCAGAAUUACUGUUUGGUAGCAUUGGUUUUGGAUGUUUAAAUUGCUGUCCCGUUGUUUUAAACUGUUGCCAUUAAAAGUCAGAUUAAAUC